GAUGAAGAACGUAGCGAAAUGCGAUAAGUAGUGUGAUUUGCAGAAUUCAGUGAAUCAUCGAAUCUUUGAACGCACAUUGCGCCCCAUGGUAUUCCGUGGGGCAUGCCUGUUCGAGCGUCAUUUACCCCCUCAAGCUCCGCUUGGUGUUGGGCGUCUGUCCCGCUUCGCGCGCGGACUCGCCCCAAAGGUAUUGGCAGCGGUCGUGCCAGCUUCUCGCGCAGCACAUUGCGCUUCUCGAGGCACCGGUGGGCCCGCGUCCAUCAAGCUCACCCCCCCAGUUUGACCUCGGAUCAGGUAGGGAUACCCGCUGAACUUAAGCAUAUCAAUAAGCGGAGGA
rnacentral:misc_RNA from 1 species